UUGUUACUGGGUUCAAUCUCUUAGGGCAGAAGACUCUUUCACAGUUGGAGAUUCUUGAAAAAGCUUAUGCUAGUAAGUGAAAAAAAUUCACCUUUUUACUCACAUUAUUACCUUCAUAGCUUCAAAAUUACAGAAUCCGAAGUGUAUGAGUAUGAAAAUGAUGCACAUCAAAGAGAUGGAAAAUGAUGCACAUCAAAGAGAUGGAAAAUGAGUAUGGUUCAGAUUCAACAUUUUUUUCCAGAAGGAAUAGUGAAAAAAAGAAAUAGCG
rnacentral:lncRNA from 1 species